ACCAUCUCUUUUGCCUUGUACCUCAAAGUCUGACCUCCAUUCACUCACCCAAAGGUCAAAAAAAAAAAAUCUACACUUCUGCAAUAGCUUCAGAGAGAUUGCUGUGAACCCACUCAUCUCGAAUUGAAAUUCCUUGGUUACUUGCAGCUAUCUCCAAUAAGUCAAAAUUUUCAUCUUCUAAAAAACCCAAUCAUUCCGUUUCAGCCUUCUUUUGAUUUUGGGUAUGAUUUUGUCAAAAAUUUUGGUUUAGGUGGUUGGAAUUGCUGAAUAUAGAGUGGGUGUUAGCAUUUGAUUUUGGGUUGCAGCUUGUAGCAGUGGAUUGGGGUUUUGUUAGCCGCAAAACUAAGGCUUGAGGUAGGGAAAGCAAAAUUUUCUUUAUAGCUUUGAUUCUAAUUUGGUGUGAUUGUUGAGAUGUUUUCUCUAUGUUUCGGUACAAAGUGUUCGUAUGUGAUUGAACAAUGAAUUGUCAAGUUUGAGUUUUGAUCAAACUCUCUUGUUGGUAAAAGUGGUUGCCUUUGAAAUUUGAUUUCAUUCCUAAUCUGCAAAUUUGAAUUGAUUUUUCAGCCAACUAUAAACAUGGUUGACGACCAAUUACUCAAUUUCAUUGUUUUGAUAUUUUAGCUUUAUAUAUCUUUGUCUGUGUGUGGAACUUGUCUUUGAGAAUAGUUGUUGGUGCUUGCUGACUGCAUGCACAAGGAAAACUUUAUGAUUGUUUUGGUUUGUCUUACAAAGCUUUGGAUCUCUAUAUUGACAGCCUAUCCGUUUCUUUUUGUUUUCUUCUUCUCUUAGAAGGAUUUGAUUGCAGCAAAGAGACUUUUUACUGCAUUAGACUCCCAUCUUCAGUUUUGCUUAUUGAACAGAUUGUGUUCUCUUCUUUUUCAUUCUCUUUUUGCCAAGUUCUAAUUGUAGCAGAGAAUCCGUAAAAUCUGAUGUUUACCCCAUCUUUAUUGUCGGGUUAAAAAGCUGAUUUAUGUUGUCCGAUUUCAAAGCAAUGGACUAUGAUUUCAAAUGAAAUUAAAACUUUUGUAUGGCUGCAUCUGAGCCUAUUGAAGGAAUUGUGUCCUAAAACAAUCAUUUUGAUGUAAUUAUUAUUGUAAUUAUUAUUAAUCAAAAGGGCAAGUUUAUUGUUAAUUGCUUAUAUUUAAUAUUUGAUUGAACAAGGUCCAAGGAAUAUGAGUUAAAGAGAAAGUAAUCUAAAGAGUUAGAUGUGUGAGACCUUUACUCUUUCACACUCUUAUCCUAAAAAGUUCAUAGUCAUAGGAUUAUCACUUAGACUUUGAUAAUCCGGAAAGACUAGCACAUACUAUGUAUGCUCAAUAUGGAGGAUGAUAUGUCUAUUGUCAUUUGUGGAGAGACACUAAUACAAGUAUGUGGUGCUCUUAACUUAAAGAGUACACUGAAUGCGCUCAUUAGAGUUCUUGUAUGGAGUCUUACUUACAUGUCAAACUUGAACUCUAAAUUGCAAUAAUACAAAUUAGUCCUUUGACCUGAGACACCAUAGUUGUCUUAUAAGUGAAUGGAUUAUCUCUUGAUGAUGCAAUAAUAUUGUGUCCCUUAAUGGAUAUAGUAGAUGCAUUCAUUGGUAUAAUCAAUUCGGUCAUGGAGACAUGUGAGUGUACAAUAAGGAAUCUCUAUCAUUAAGUAAAUAAGGUGUAUGUUCAAAGAUGUGAGUCAAUAAGUCUUUGGCCAAAGCAUUGAAUGAGAUUAAAAAGGAGUUUCUAAUCACAUUCUAAGAAUCACAUAAGAAUGAAAAUCACAUUAGGGGAUUGACAUAUCAAUUCCAUACCCCGAUGAUGUGAUUUAGAACAUAGUGUUAGAGAAUGACCGUAUUGUAUUGUAAUUCCAAUUGAAUAGGUUCUUUGUCAUUCUACAUUAACUAGGGUAGUCAUGAUAUGUUGCAAGACAUCACUCAUGACUUAUGAAGUCCUGAGGAUUAAUAAACAUUUAUAAUCCUAAUAACAAGGGAGAAUCAAAAAUGGAGUUUUUUUUAUUCGUAAACAAAAUAGAAUGGUUUCUAUAAACUUCACUGCCUUGUUAAUUAGAACCUAAGAGAUCGCACACCAUAUAAGUGGAUCCUUGAGAUUGUAUAUGAAGAAGAUUAAACAAGAGUAGGUUAUGACCAAAUAAUUAAUUAGAUUUAUUAUUUGGACAUAAUUAGGAUUUUCGGGUAAAACCGAACCUAUUGGGCCUAAACGAUUGUCGGGUUUUUGGUGUGGACUUGGGCUUCAGUAAGUGAGAUUUAAAUGAAAGCCCAAGACACAUUUUUAGUGCCCAAUAACAUGUAUGGACCAACCAACAUAUUGGCUUUAUGAAAGUCAAUAUUUUUCUUUUAGUAAUUGGAGUUAUUUCCUAUUAUAUAAAAGUGAAAGCAUGGACAUAAUAAUAAGUGUGUCUCCACACUGUUAUUUUAGAUUUGAGAAAGAGAGAGAGUUCUCCCUUGGUCAAUUACAAAAUUAAAGGAAAGAAGAACACUUGCAUAAUUUCUUCUUUUCUUUCAUCUUUCUUCAUCUCUUGAUUCACUUGGUGAAGAUCCUUAAAGGCCAUAUCUUUUUGUGGCUUUACUUAUUACAUCAAGGAGAAGAUUACAAGCACAAGAAGGGGUACAAGAAGGAGUUCUUAAUUCAAGGUGCUUCAAGGUGGAGGAAACACAUACAAGGAGAGAUCAAGGAGAGGAACUUUGGUGGUUCACUUGGAUCGGAUUAAAAUCAUGCUCCAAGGAUGACCUGUACUAAGCAAACUACUUGUAAGUCAACUUGUGGAAAGGCUUCAAGGAAGCAGCUCGCCACCAAGAGAGUCAGAGCCAAGUAGCUGCACAUUGAUAUAAUAAUGCAGCAGCGAACAAACGGGAUUAAAUAUGGAACUAUGGAAGUAGGGAAAGACAUGUAGGCCUUGAGAGUCAUAAAUUGUUUCUAUUGAUAGACCAAAACAAUCAGGUUAAAUUUCUUUGAUUUUAAUUUAUGCUUUUGUCCAAGGACAAAAACAUGUUUUCUCACAACAAAUAUAUGGUAUCAACAACAUGGGCAUUUGCUUCCCUUAAUCUUCAAGCAUGCAUAUAAUUAACUUGCUCAAUUAUAGGUGGAGAAGAAGGAGAAGGAUCUAUAGUUGAGUUUUGACAGUGUUGAUCUAAAUGCAAUGCUUAUUAUCUAUUAAUAUUCCUUUUGCUUUCUUCUUGAUUUAGUAUUAUAUUCUUCUUAACAUAGAAGAACAUCUAAUCCUUUUUCUAUAAUCAUCCAAAAUAAAAGAAUAUGCUCUCGUUUGAUGAUUGUAUUAGCUGUGCUUUUAUCGCCACUUCCUCUGUUUAUCUGCACCUUUUAAGAUGUAGGUCAGUACUCUCUCACCCUUCGCCAGACUCAAAGCCAUCUACAGCGAAGCCCCACUUCCCCAAUCGGUUCAUGCCGUAUUGAAGGAGCUGGCUCAGAAGUCUUUCAAUGCGACCUCGGAAUUAAAGCAGUAUCCCACUUUAAGAGUGGAAGUUGGGAAUGCAAGAUUUGAAUCGCUGGAUAGGAUGAAAGAAGAGAGCAAUGAAGCAACUAUGUAGCUAGCUAGUUGAUAUGGAGUGUGGUUACCUCACCGUUGAAUUUUUCCUCAAGCUUCCUGAGGAUAUUGAAAAGGGGGGAAAUCUGACACACUCACUUUUCGACAGAUAUAACGAUUCCUACCUCUGGUGGGUUGGGCAUUCCUCCUCAUCCUAGCAACAAGGAGUGUGGGUACUUUAUCAUGUGCUACAUGAGAGAUAUCAUUGAGGAUAAAGACAUGUCAUUGUUUCCUUCCAAGUGGGAGAGGAGAGUUAGCAGCUAAUACACCCAAGCGGAUAUUGAUCAAGUGCGAAAUGAAUAGGGAAAGUUUGUUGUCAACACGUAUGUGCAUGAGCCAUGAAGUAUGUUGUGAAGGCAUAUGUGUAGGAGCUAAAGGAGCAUAAGAGGAAGUAGGUUGUUGUUGAAGGAAAGCAUAAUUUUUGUGCUUCUUUGCUAGUACAAUAUUCAUGCACUGUGUGGCAUGUUUUGUAACAAAUAGUUUGUAUUUGUAUAAACUUUUGAUGUCCCAAGUAAAUGGGCAUGCAUUAGAAUACUUUUCUUCUUUCAAUGUUGGCUUGGAUGAUUGAGAAAUCCUCCCUUUUAACAUUUGAAUGCUUUUCUUCAAAUAGUAUGAGUUGGAUUACUCAUUUCAUAGA